rnacentral:sRNA from 1 species
GGCCGAGCGCGUCGCACCCGCGUCCCUGCGCCGUGCCUGCCUCGCGCUCCCUGUUACGGCGUUCGUCCCCGGGCCUGGCGCCCGCGUCCGGCCCGGCUCCGCGGCGGCCUGGUCCGAUGGCGCCUCAGCGGAGGGCCGCAAGCAAGGCGCCCGAGGGCAACGGAGCGGCCGAGCGCCGGAACCGGAGCAGGUAGCGCACCAAGAAGGACCGAGCCCCGCGGGAGGUGCAGAGGCUGUGGCAGAGGCCGUGGCUAAGGACCGCGGGCCUGGGGGCCGGCCUUGUGCUCACCGCACUCCUGCUCUGGAGCAGCUUGGGGGCCGACGACGGGGUCGCAGAGGUCCUGGCCCGCCGUGGCGAGGUCGUGGCAGGGAGAUUCAUCGAGGUGCCCUGCUCUGAGGACUACGACAGUCACCGCAGGCUGCACUCCCCGAAAGUGCGGCAGAGGUGUCACCGAUGUUGUCAUCACCAGGGAGGAAGCGGAGCGGAUUCGCAGCAUAGCUGAAAAGGGGCUCUCCCUGGGAGGAUCUGACGGAGGGGCAUCCAUUCUGGACUUGCACUCAGGGGCCCUGUCUGUCGGGAAGCACUUUGUGAACCUGU